rnacentral:rRNA from 1 species
ACUCAAAUGAAUUGACGGGGACCCGCACAAGCAGAGGAGGAUGUGGUUUAAUAUGACGAUACGCGUAGAACCUUACCAAGGCUUGACAUCCCUGGAACCCACUGGAAACAGAGGGGUGCCUUCGGGAGCCAGGUGACAGGUGCUGCAUGGCCGUCGUCAGCUCGUGUCGUGAGAUGUUGGGUUAAGUCCCGCAACGAGCGCAACCCUUAUCGUAUGUUGGAUUUUUCAUGCGAGACUGCCCGGGCCAACCGGGAGGAAGGUGGGGAUGACGUCAGGUCGGCAUGGCCCUUACGCCUUGGGCUACACACGUCCUACAAUGGCCAGUACAACGCGUCGCGAAACCGCGAGGUGGAGCUAAUCGCAUCAAAACUGGUCUCAGUUCGGAUUGGAGGCUGCAACUCGCCUCCAUGAAGUCGGAUUUGCUAGUAAACGUAGGUCAGCACACUACGUUGAAUACGUUCCCGGGUCUUGUACACACCGCCCGU